ACGAACGCUGGCGGCGUGCUUAACACAUGCAAGUCGAACGGAAAGGCCUGCUUUCCCUUGUGGAUUGCGGGUACUCGAGUGGCGAACGGGUGAGUAACACGUGAGUGAUCUGCCCCCAACUUGGGUAUAAGCCUGGGAAACUGGGUCUAAUUCCCGAUAGGACUGCAGGGUGGUGCCUGUGGUGGAAAACGAUUUUCUAGUGGUUGGGGAUGAGCUCGCGGCCUAUCAGCUUGUUGGUGGGGUAAUGGCCUACCAAGGCGGCGACGGGUAGCCGGCCUGAGGGGGUGGACGGCCACAUUGGGACUGAGAUACGGCCCAGACUCCUACGGGAGGCAGCAGUGGGGAAUAUGGCACGAUGGGCGGAAGCCUGAUGCAGCGACGCCGCGUGGGGGAUGACGGGCUUCGGGUUGUAAACUCCUUUCGACCGCGAGGAAGCCACCUGGUUGGAAGGGUGGUGACGGUAGUGGUAGAAGAAGCACCGGCUAACUACGUG
rnacentral:rRNA from 1 species